rnacentral:rRNA from 1 species
AUUGAACGCUGGCGGCAUGCCUUACACAUGCAAGUCGAACGGCAGCAUGGAAGAGCUUGCUCUUCUGAUGGCGAGUGGGCGAACGGGUGAGUAAAGCAUCGGAACGUACCGUGUAGUGGGGGAUAACGUAGCGAAAGUUACGCUAAUACCGCAUACGCACUGAGGUGGAAAGCAGGGGAUCGCAAGACCUUGCGCUAUACGAGCGGCCGAUGUCAGAUUAGCUAGUUGGUAGGGUAAAGGCCUACCAAGGCGACGAUCUGUAGCGGGUCUGAGAGGAUGAUCCGCACACUGGGACUGAGACACGGCCCAGACUCCUACGGAGGCAGCAGUGGGGAUAUUGCACAGUGGGCGCAAGCCUGAUGCAGCGACGCCGCGU